UACGUAGGGUGCAAGCGUUGUCCGGAAUUAUUGGGCGUAAAGAGCUCGUAGGCGGUUUGUCGCGUCGAAUGUGAAAACCCGGGGCUCAACCCCGGGCCUGCAUUCGAUACGGGCAGACUAGAGUUCGGUAGGGGAGUCUGGAAUUCCUGGUGUAGCGGUGAAAUGCGCAGAGUAUCAGGAGGAACACCGGUGGCGAAGGCGACUACCUGGCCUGUUCCUGACGCUGAGGCGCGAAAGCUAGGGGAGCAAACGGG
rnacentral:rRNA from 1 species